GUGCCAGCCGCCGCGGUAAUACAGAGGUCCCGAGCGUUGUUCGGAUUCAUUGGGCGUAAAGGGUGCGUAGGUGGCGAUGUAAGUCUGGUGUGAAAUCUCAGGGCUCAACCUUGAAAUUGCAUUGGAUACUGCGUUGCUUGAGGAUUGUAGAGGAGAGUGGAAUUCACGGUGUAGCAGUGAAAUGCGUAGAUAUCGUGAGGAAGACCAGUUGCGAAGGCGACUCUCUGGGCAAUUCCUGACACUGAGGCACGAAGGCCAGGGGAGCAAACGGGAUUAGAUACCCUAGUAGUCC
rnacentral:rRNA from 1 species